rnacentral:misc_RNA from 1 species
CCUGUUCGAGCGUCAUUAUGACCAAUCAAGCUCUGCUUGGCCUUGGGGCCCGCUGUACCGGCGGCCCUUAAAAUCAGUGGCGGUGCGUCGGGCCCUGAGCGCAGUAAAUAUCCUCGCUACAGGGACCCGGUGGACGCUGGCCAUCAACCUCACUUUUCAAGUUUGACCUCGGAUCAGGUAGGGAUACCCGCUGAACUUAA